rnacentral:rRNA from 1 species
GUACUAGGUGUGGGGUCCAUUCCACGGAUUCCGUGCCGUAGCUAACGCAUUAAGUACCCCGCCUGGGGAGUACGGCCGCAAGGCUAAAACUCAAAGGAAUUGACGGGGCCCCGCACAAGCGGCGGAGCAUGCGGAUUAAUUCGAUGCAACGCGAAGAACCUUACCUGGGUUUGACAUGGACUGGGAGUGCUCAGAGAUGGGUAUGCCUCCUUGUGGGGCUGGUUCACAGGUGGUGCAUGGCUGUCGUCAG